GGGUUCAGUGGUAGAACAUCUGCUUUGCAUGCAGAAGGUCACAGAUUCAAUUCCCAGCACCU
rnacentral:tRNA from 1 species